rnacentral:rRNA from 1 species
AGUGAACGCUGGCGGUAGGCCUAACACAUGCAAGUCGAACGGCAGCACAGUAAGAGCUUGCUCUUACGGGUGGCGAGUGGCGGACGGGUGAGGAAUACAUCGGAAUCUACUUUUUCGUGGGGGAUAACGUAGGGAAACUUACGCUAAUAUCGCAUACGACCUACGGGUGAAAGCAGGGGAUCUUCGGCCCUUGCGCGAUUGAAUGAGCCGAUGUCGGAUUAGCUGGUUGGCGGGGUAAAGGCCCACCAAGGCGACGAUCCGUAGCUGGUCUGAGAGGAUGAUCAGCCACACUGGAACGGGGACACGGUCCAGACUCCUACGGGAGGCAGCAGUGGGGAAUAUUGGACAAUGGUGGCAAGCCUGGUCCAGCCAUACCGCGUGGGUGAAGAAGGCCUUCGGGUUGUAAAGCCCUUUUGUUGGUAAAGAAAAGCAGCAGGUUAAUACCCCGCUGUUCUGACGGUACCCAAAGAAUAAGCACCGGCUAACUUCGUG